rnacentral:lncRNA from 1 species
AUGUCAGCCUCCACCGCACACAGCAGAAACGACAGAGAUCUCCUUGGUGUUCCUUCCACAAAGACGUCAUCCCUGAGUGUCCUCCCCCAGGGCAGCAAGCUGAAGCUGCAUCCGAGGUCAGACUCGUCAGAGUGUGAAAAUGAUGAUCCGUUACUGAGAUCUGCAAGUAAAGUCAGAGACAUCAACAGCACUUACGUUAUUUCUGCCUGUAAGAAAACAGAAGACACACGCCUCCUUCCUAACCCUGUGGGGAGGUUGACACUUCAGAGGAGAGCGACCAAGAGCAAGGAACCCUCUUUGCUUGGUCGUGAGUCGGGAGACGCCGGUGCGAAAACGGCAGAAACACGCCUUGCAUUACAGCGUCGGACUAAGACAGAUUACAUGGGAAAGUGGAAAGGAAUGCAGGACUUGGGCGGCAGGACAGAAAAUAGUCGGCCUUCACCAGAAACUGGUAUAAGUGUAAAAGCUGUAAGCAGUGAUAAAGACUUGCCUGUUGCACCUUCUGUGCCUUUAACUCCAGACCCCAAAGACCCUGAAAUGAAGGCUGAUGGAAAAUGCGCAGCGACGCGUUCUGCCCUCAGUGGGGUGGGUGAGAACGUUGCCCUUAAGUCCCUACGUGAGCGAGCACCCGCCGGUUCCCAGAGUCAGACUGAAGCUGUUCGCACACCGUGCGUGGCAGUUAGGCCCACUGAGAGCAGGUUGGAGACCAGAGAGUCAGGAGCAGGGGCCUCGCAUCACAGGGGUGCUGAGAAGGAAGCCACGAAACUUCCACGUAGAUUUGAAAGCUUAGAGAAAAGGACACCCUUCAAGUGUAUUUCAGAGCUCAGGUCGACACCUAGGCGUGGCGUCCUGCAGCCUCCGAGCCCCGCUGCCUUGGUUCUGAGAAGCAAGAGGCCCACCCUGCAAGUUAAACAGACGCCCCAGAGCUCUCUUCUUGCAAGUCAGAGGGAAAGGUCACGGGAAAAUACAUUCCUUCUUGAGGAAGAAGCCGCACUUCAGAAAACCUCUGCAGAAACAGGGCCCCUGAAGGUGGAGAGCAGCCAAGUGACAGUGGCGGUCAGAGUCAGGCCUUUCAGCAGCCGGGAGAAGAGAGAAGGCGCGCCUCAGGCGGUCUUCCUGGAUGGGGAGGAAAUCGCUGUGGAGCACCCUGGCACGCGACAGGUGUACAGCUUUGCCUACGAUCUUUGCUUUUGGUCCGUGGACGAGCGCCACCCGCGCUUCGCGAGCCAGAUGGCCGUGUACCAGGCGCUGGCGGCCCCGCUGCUAGGACAGGCCUUCCAAGGCUUCAACACCUGUCUGUUCGCGUAUGGCCAGACUGGCUCUGGAAAGUCAUACACGAUGAUGGGCUUUAGUGAAGAACCAGGAAUAAUUCCAAGAUUUUGUGAAGAUCUUUUUGCUGAAAUAGCCAAAAAACAAACGGAAGAGGCCAGCUACCACCUUGAGAUGAGCUUCUUCGAAGUCUACAAUGAAAGAAUUCAUGACCUUCUUGUUUGUAAAGGUGAAAAUGGGCAGAGAAAGCAAACGCUGCGAGUGCGGGAGCACCCUGCCUCGGGCCCGUACAUCGAGGGCCUGUCCACGAAUGUUGUCAGUUCUUAUUCUGAUAUCCAGGUCUGGCUGGAGCUGGGGAACAAGCAGAAGGCCACAGCCGCCACCAGCAUGAACGACAAGAGCUCGCGCUCUCACUCCGUGCUCACGCUGGCGAUGACCCAGGCCAAGACAGAAUUUGUGGAGGGGCAGGAGCUGGACCACAGAAUUCGGAGCCGCAUAAACCUCGUGGACCUGGCUGGCAGUGAGCGGUGUUCAGCGACCGGGACCAGCGGGGAGCGGCUGAAGGAAGGCGUGAGCAUUAACAAGUCGCUGCUGACCCUGGGCAAGGUCAUCUCUGCACUGUCCGAGCAGGCUGGUGGGCGGAGCGUGUUCAUUCCUUACCGCGAGUCUGUCCUCACAUGGCUGCUGAAGGAGAGUCUGAGCGGAAACUCGAAAACCGCCAUGGUGGCCGCGGUCAGCCCGGCGGGCGGCAGCGUGGAGGAGACGCUGAGCACGCUGAGGUACGCGGCGCAGGCCCGCAGCAUCGUCACCGCCGCCAGGGUCAACGAGGACCUCAGCGCCGGGCUCAUCCGGGAAUUGAAAGCAGAGAUUGAAAAGUUAAAAGCUGCCCAAAGAAGCAGUCAGAACAUUGACCCUGAGCGAUACAGGCUCUGCCGGCAAGAAAUAACCUCCUUGAGAAUGAAGCUGCAUCAGCAGGAGAGACACAUGGCAGACAUGCAGAGAGUGUGGAAAGAAAAGCUUGAACAAGCCGAAAAAAGAAGACUUCAAGUAACAGAGGAGCUGCAGAAAGUAGGAAUUGCCUUUCGAAUGGAUGACCAUUUGCCAAACCUGGUCAAUCUCAGCGAAGACCCUCAGCUGUCAGAGAUCCUGUCAUACAUGAUUAAAGAGGGGACAACCACAGUCGGAAAGUGCAGACCCGGCUCCAGCCACGAUAUCCAGCUGUCGGGGGUGCUGAUCGCCGACGACCACUGCACCAUCACCAAUUCCGAUGGGACAGUGAGUAUCAUCCCGGCGGGGGAAGCGAAGACAUACGUAAAUGGAAAACUGAUUUCGGAGCCGACGGUGUUGCACCAUGGUGAUCGGGUGAUUCUUGGUGGCGAUCAUUAUUUUAGAUUUAAUCAUCCAGUGGAAGUCCAGAAAAGGGAGCAGCCACCCAGCAGAGAGAACCCUGUGAGCAAGGGCCCAGAAGACUUCGAGUCGGCCAGAAACGAUUUGCUGAUGGCCCAGAGGUUACAGCUUGAGGCAGAAAUAAAGGAGGCUGAGGUGAGAGCCAAGGAGGAGAUGAUGCAAGGGAUCCAGAUCGUGAAAGAAAUGGCCCAGCAAGAGCUCUCCUCUCAGAAAGCUGCGUAUGAGAGCAAGAUCAAAGUGCUGGAGGCAGAGCUGAAAGAAGAAUCUCAAAGGAAGAAGAUCCAGGAAAUAAAUAACGAAAAGGCGAAUCACAAGAUUGAGGAACUGGAAAAGGCGAAGCAGCGCUUUGAGCAGGAAAUUCACGUCAACAGGAAGCGGCUGGAAAUGGAGGCCCUGGCGGCGAAGCAGGCUUUAGAAGACCACAGGAUUCGGCACGCAAAAAUUCUGGAAGCUCUAGAAACAGAGAAGCAAAGGAUUGCUCAGGAAGUGCAGAUUCUGCAGCAGAAUCAGAGCCACAGGGAUAAAGCCUUCACAGCGCAGCCCAGUUGGAGCUCCAUGAAGCUGUCCGUCAUGAUUCAGGAAGCCAACGCCAUCAGCAGCAGGCUAAACAGGAAUUACGUUUUUGGCAGACAUGUGGUGUCAGAUAAAGGAAGCAGCUCUGACGCUUGUAUUCGGGUCCGUAACCUGCAGCUCGGGGUCUCAACCGUCUGGAGUCUGGAAAAGUUUGAGUCUAAGCUUGCGGCAAUGAAGGAACUUUAUGAGAGCCGUGGCAGUAGCCGGGGUGAAGAUGUCUUUUGUGGGCCUGAAGAUGAGUGGGAACCCGACAUCACCCAUGUUCCUGUUUCUUCCUUUUCCAGGAGGAGAAGCAGAAGUCUGCUGAACAACAGGAGGGUUUCCGGCUGUCUGCACGGCGUCGAGGCCCACGCGGGCCGGGACCUGCGUUCUUCAGGCUGUGCAGGCUUAGUGGGGAAAUCCAGCCCUGUUUACCUGGACUCAGCGGAACCCUUCCUUCCUGGCAUUUGCAAAGAGUUGAUCGGCUCGUCGUUAGAGCUUCUUGGACAGAGUGAUGAUGAAGAAGGCACCGUGGCAGACAGCCUGAUGAGCAGUUUCCUCAGAAUCCACGACGGGGUACUGGCCGUGUCCAGAGCCCACGAAGAGCAGGACGAGGACAGUCAGUGUAGCUUGUUCACUGACCGAGCAAACCAGUCGCUCGCAGUCCAGGUGACAAGCGCGUUCGAGCAGCUUGCGGUGCUGACGGGACCCUGGGUGAGCGGUGUCCUCCUGGAGGCUGGCCGGGCGGCCCUGCUGGCCGAGCUGCGGCAGGAAGUGAGGACGCUGGGGAGCCGCUUGCAGCUGUUUCUGCAGGGAUGCUCUUCGGAUAUUUCACCGAUGGUCAAAGAGGCUCAAAAGCAAGUGAUCCAAACCGUGUGCCGAGCCGUUGCGUGUGUGGGGCGGUCAGUGGCCCUCACUGGGGGCCGGCUGCAUCUGCUGGAGAGUGGCGCUCACGGGGCCCCGGGCCUGCAGGAUGAUUUUGUGGGUGCUGUUUGUGAUGGUGUAGACAUGGGAGUCAGGAGUCUCCUCGAUGCUGGGAUAGAAAAAGCAGAAGAGCUUGAGCGUGAACUUGGAAGACAGAGUCCCCAAGAUGAGGUUACCAAACAGAUGAAAGCUAAUGCCCUGGGACUGAUCGAAUCCCUCGGAAACCUCUUCGCUGAAUGGAAAACAAAAAGCUUCAGAACUCAAGUACAAGAAGAAAAUUCUAAAUAUAAAGAUUUGAAGAUGAUGAUCAAUCUUGCCCAAGAAUUCUUCAAGUUAAAAUGUGGCUUAGAGCAAACUAUUCAAAUUAUUAUUUCUGCGCUGAGAGGGCACCGCGGGGACGUGGCCCUCCUCCAGGACUGUGUGCAGCGUCUCUGCAGCUCUGCCCGGGGUCUCCAUGGCGACCGGGCUGGGUGCCCUGAGGACAGCAGAGCCCAAGCCAGCCGCCGGGAGCUGGAGUCCCGCGCCACCUCACUGCUCUUGGGCUUUGAAUUUGAAGAAGGACUUGUUUUGUGGGGGCCCUGGGAAGCUUGCGAUCAGGGUCCCAGAGCAGCAGAACAAGAGCAGCCCAGGUCGGACAGGCCCGGCCCCCAGAGGACCCGAGGAGUGCCCAAGCGGGUGUACGAGCUCCCGGGCCCGGCCCUGGGGGGCUCAGAGCAGGGUGUGCUGCCCACCCGGGAGAGCACCGGGGAGGGAUCUCCUCCCGCCCGAGAGCAGUAGGCCUGCUCCAGAGCCAGCCGUUCUGUGGGCAGCCUGCUGCUGGGUGUGGACGCUGGUUCCAGAUGCCUGGAUGUGCAGCCGCGAUUCCCUGCAGACGGUGAAAGGCAGGUGCUGCCCGUGC